ACAUAAAAAAAGACCCAAUACGAUUCCUGUAUCGGGUCUAGGGAAAUGGCUCGUUGAGAGCCGUGCGCUAAAAGUUGGCAUUUUUGCAGGCGAGGACGCCUUGCCUUUUAAAGGUAGACCAGCAUCGGUAAUUUUCCAGCCA
rfam:Plautia stali symbiont DNA, complete genome.